rnacentral:lncRNA from 1 species
UUCUAGCACUUCCUCCUGUCUUUCGGGUAAAAGAGCAGUGAGGGCCUCCAGGGAUCCAGGGAUAGCGGAAAUCCUGAAGCAGUUAUGGCUGUGACGAACCAGGUGCUUGAUUACUAUGGUUGCAGCUUUCCUGAUUUCGGCCUCACUAGGAUCCUUCCAGGUGAUCAUCUCUAAGAGUCUCUCCACAACUCCGGGCGUGGUACCAAUCCUCCGUUGCGUUUCUUCCAUUGAAUCUCCUUUUGAGACAAGAGCUGACAGUAUGUUGACGCUACCGAGCUGCUCUUCCCUUAUGCUUGACUGCAGCUUCUCGACGGUGAAAUCGAUAAGGUCCAUUCCCAGGCCAUCAAACACGCUUCCGUUCAGCGAUCGUGAGUACAAUGUGUACCAGUACUGCUUCAUGGUUUCAAUGUCGUCUUGAUCAAGCUCACAUGUUCGAGUGACUACUUCCAGCAACCUCUGGUAACGAAGCUUGAAUUCCCAAUAUGUUCUCUCCAGGAGGAAUAGCGACGUUUCUGCCAGCAUCAUCGCGUAAAACACAGUAAGUGCUUGCUCAGUGUUGUUUCCUUGGGCAUUGAAGCCGUGCUCGGCAAGUCGAUAUACUGAGAAACAUGCGGUGACUGUUGCAGAAGCAAGCUGGAGGAAGUACAUGAAAAGGCUGAUGAUCCUGGUGGGGAGGAACUUUACAUACGCGCUUCCCACGCACCAAAUUCUUCUGGCAGCGAAUCCCUGGUGUAAAUCUUUCUUUACUGGUUUUUUGGAAAGUCGAUCUCUACUCACGUUCUGUUCAGAGUGGUCAUGGUCCAAGACUCCAGAGAACUUCUCCCAUAAUCUGGCGCUCUUGUCGAACAGGAACGAUCUGAAGCCGAGAAUUCCC